GAUGAACGCUGGCGGCGUGCUUAACACAUGCAAGUCGAACGAAGCAUUUCUUUUGAAAGUCACCAGCUUGCUGGAGAUGGACAUGCGAAAUGACUGAGUGGCGGACGGGUGAGUAACGCGUGAGUAACCUGCCUUAUACAGGGGGAUAACAGUUGGAAACGACUGCUAAUACCGCAUAAGCUCACAGUACCGCAUGGUACAGUGUGAAAAACUCCGGUGGUGUAGGAUGGACCCGCGUCCGAUUAGCUAGUUGGUGAGGUAAGAGCUCACCAAGGCGACGAUCGGUAGCCGGCCUGAGAGGGCGGACGGCCACAUUGGGACUGAGACACGGCCCAGACUCCUGCGGGAGGCAGCAGUGGGGGAUAUUGCACAAUGGGGGAAACCCUGAUGCAGCGACGCCGCGUGAGUGAAGAAGUAUUUCGGUAUGUAAAGCUCUAUCAGCAGGGAAGAAAAUGACGGUACCUGACUAAGAAGCCCCGGCUAACUACGUGCCAGCAGCCGCAGUAACAC
rnacentral:rRNA from 1 species